GGUGAAGAAGAAUGAUAGAAUUCAAGAACAUUAUCUCCUCAGGAGUGGGAAUCUCCAAGACUCUUUCCUUUGCUAUCUGUAAUUUGAGCAUAUGAUGUUAAAUAAGCACGCAAAUGGAAAGCCGAUGCUUUCAUAUGCUCUAGAGAACGUAGUAUCAUUUCUUCACCCAUGGAUGGCUGGUCUAGCAGUUUUUCUAAGAAGGCCAGGAUGUCUGCUGGUUAAAACCUGACCAGGUGGGGACCCGGAAACCUCGCUCUGAUUCUCCUGAUCUGUGGUAGAUGGCACUCUCAACGUCUUAACCGCGGGAAGAGAAAAGAUGAAAUGAA